AGSCCCUUCGGGUACUCGAGCGGCGAACGGGUGAGUAACACGUGAGUAACCUGCCCUGGACUUUGGGAUAACCCUCGGAAACGGGGGCUAAUACCGAAUACAACCUCUCACUGCAUGGUGUGGGGGUGGAAAGUUUUUCGGUCUGGGAUGGGCUCGCGGCCUAUCAGCUUGUUGGUGGGGUGAUGGCCUACCAAGGCGACGACGGGUAGCCGGCCUGAGAGGGCGACCGGCCACACUGGGACUGAGACACGGCCCAGACUCRUACGGGAGGCAGCAGUGGGGAAUAUUGCACAAUGGGCGGAAGCCUGAUGCAGCGACGCCGCGUGAGGGAUGACGGCCUUCGGGUUGUAAACCUCUUUCAGCAGGGACGAAGCGCAAGUGACGGUACCUGCAGAAGAAGCGCCGGCCAACUACGUGCCAGCAGCCGCGGUAAGACGUAGGGCGCGAGCGUUGUCCGGAUUUAUUGGGCGUAAAGAGCUCGUAGGCGGCUUGUCGCGUCGACCGUGAAAACUCGCAGCUCAACUGCGAGCCUGCGGNCGAUACGGGCRGGCUAGAGUUCGGUAGGGGAGACUGGAAUUCCUGGUGUAGCGGUGAAAUGCGCAGAUAUCAGGAGGAACACCGAUGGCGAAGGCAGGYCUCUGGGCCGAUACUGACGCUGAGGAGCGAAAGCGKGGGGAGCGAACAGGAUUAGAUACCCUGGUAGUCCACGCUGUAAACGUUGGGCGCUAGGKGUGGGGRGCCUCUCCGGGUUCUCUGUGCCGCAGCUAACGCAUUAAGSSCCCCGCCUGGGGRGUACGGCCGCARGUUAAAACUCAAA
rnacentral:rRNA from 1 species